rnacentral:rRNA from 1 species
GUAGGUGGCAAGCGUUGUCCGGAAUUAUCGGGCGUAAAGCGCGCGCAGGCGGGGUCCUUUAAGUCUGAUGUGAAAGCCCACGGGCUCAACCGUGGAGGGUCAUUGGAAACUGGGGGACUUGAGUACAGAAGAGGAAAGCGGAAUUCCAAGUGUAGCGGUGAAAUGCGUAGAGAUUUGGAGGAACACCAGUGGCGAAGGCGGCUUUCUGGUCUGUAACUGACGCUGAGGCGCGAAAGCGUGGGGAGCAAACAGGAUUAGAUACCCUGGUAGUCCACGCCGUAAACGAUGAGUGCUAAGUGUUAGGGGGUUUCCGCCCCUUAGUGCUGCAGCUAACGCAUUAAGCACUCCGCCUGGGGAGUACGGCCGCAAAGGCUG